AGAGCUCUCCUGUGUGCCCAGAGAAGAGGCCGUGUGAGGGAGCAGAGAGAAGGCGGCCGUCAGCAAGCCAGAGGAGAGCUCUCACCAGAACCCGACCUCGCUGGCAUCUUGAUCUCGGCCUCCCAGCCUCCAGAACGGGUGACAGCUUGCUUGGUGGAGUAGGCCUUCUGCAGAAGCUGUUUCCUUAGGAGCCUCAGCCUCUCUGAGAGAAGAGAAGGCCAGGCUGGACCACAGAGCCCAGGGGAGGCUGCUGAGGGACCGGAAGCAAUACCCAGGGUCCAGUGAGAUGGAGGAUCAGCCACCAGUGAGAGGAGGCGUCGUUUGCCCGCUGCUGAGUGUGGUGAAAGCCUGGCAGACGGGGGCCUCCGAUGGCCAAGUCACCCCUCACCACCUGCUGCUCCAAGAGCCCGGGGUCUUCAUCUGUCCAGGGUCACCCCGGCCCUGCAAUUCUCAGGGCUUUCUUUUGUCCAGCGAGGAUACAGGAGAGUAGGGCCUUGGUCUCUCAGACCAGGCUUGGGCCAUCCCUGGAGCCUUGGCCCUACUCUCACUCAGCUGUGUACCUCAUCAUCUCACAGAUUAGAGCCAGGAAAAGGAAACCAGUGAGAC
rnacentral:lncRNA from 1 species